rnacentral:rRNA from 1 species
CGGCAGGCCUAACACAUGCAAGUCGAGCGUGAAAGGGGCUCGGCCCUGAGUAAAGCGGCGCACGGGUGAGUAACACGUGAAUAAUCUGCCCUCAUGACCGGGAUAACAGAUCGAAAGAACUGCUAAUACCGGAUAAGCCUCCACACCAACCGGGUGAGUGGGGAAAAGAACGGGACCUUCGGGCCGUUCGCGUGAGGAUGAGUUCGCGUUCCAUUAGAUAGUUGGUGAGGUAAUGGCUCACCAAGUCGACGAUGGAUAGCUGGUCUAAGAGGAUGAUCAGCCACACUGGAACUGAGACACGGUCCAGACUCCUACGGGAGGCAGCAGUGGGGAAUCUUGCGCAAUGGAGGAAACUCUGACGCAGCCAUGCCGCGUGAGUGAAUGAAGGCCCUCGGGUUGUAAAGCUCUGUCUAAGGGGACGAAUGGCGUUAUGUACAAGACGCAUGACGAUUGACGGUACCCUUAAAGAAAACACCGGCUAACUCCGUGCCAGCCGCAGC